CUCAAAGACGAGGCAACAAAAGAAUCAAUCAGGCUCAGGAUUGAGCGCUAUCAGAGUGGAGCAGAUACACGGUAUGCAGUGAAGAUGUAACUCAUUAACCGAGAGCACAGUCUCUGAGAGGCAUAAAUCCAGAGGAAUGUUGGCGUGCUGUCAAAAAAACCAUCUCUCGCACAUCAAGAGAAUCAAAUCCUUCUGAAAACCUGCAAUCCUUCCAAUGAACAAUGAGCUUUUGAUAUUUUCACCAGAGAAGGCAAUGGAUAAGAAUACUAAAAUGAAUUUAUUGUGAUAUGCCGAUUAUCGUAAUUCAUUAAAAGCACAUCCACAUUAGCUGAUUAGCUACAAGUCCAAAAGAAGAUCAUUAAAAGGUAUUAACAUGACUGCGACAGAAAAGUAGAGAAUUGAAUAAACAAAAAAGUG